GCCCGUGAUAUGGACAAUCAUUGAGCAACUGCUUGAAUUGCUCCCACACUUCAAAUAAAGUUUCCCCUGUUUUCUGCUAAAACCCCACUAUCUCGCUUCUCAACGUC